rnacentral:rRNA from 1 species
AUUGAACGCUGGCGGCAGGCCUAACACAUGCAAGUCGAACGAGUGGCGGACGGGUGAGUAAUGUCUGGGAAACUGCCUGAUGGAGGGGGAUAACUACUGGAAACGGUAGCUACAAACGCAUACCAUCAGAUGUGCCCAGAUGGGAUUGGGUUGUUGGUGGGGUAACGGCUCACCAAGGCGACGAUCCCUAGCUGGUCUUAGAGGAUGACCGGCCACACGGGAACUGAGACACGGUCCAGACUCCUACGGGAGGCAGCAGUGGGGAAUAUUGGACAAUGGGCGCAAGCCGGAUGCAGCCAUGCCGCGUGUAUGAAGAAGGCCUUCGGGUUGUAAAGUACUUUCGGCGGAGAGGCGUUACCCGCAGAAGAAGCACCGGCUAACUCCGUGCCAGCAGCCGCGGUAAUAC